rnacentral:rRNA from 1 species
GAUGAACGCUGGCGGCGUGCCUAAUACAUGCAAGUCGAGCGAACAGACGAGGAGCUUGCUCCUCUGACGUUAGCGGCGGACGGGUGAGUAACACGUGGAUAACCUACCUAUAAGACUGGGAUAACUUCGGGAAACCGGAGCUAAUACCGGAUAAUAUAUUGAACCGCAUGGUUCAAUAGUGAAAGACGGCUUUGCUAUCACUUAUAGAUGGACCCGCGCCGCAUUAGCUAGUUGGUAAGGUAACGGCUUACCAAGGCAACGAUGCGUAGCCGACCUGAGAGGGUGAUCGGCCACACUGGAACUGAGACACGGUCCAGACUCCUACGGGAGGCAGCAGUAGGGAAUCUUCCGCAAUGGGCGAAAGCCUGACGGAGCAACGCCGCGUGAGUGAUGAAGGUCUUCGGAUCGUAAAACUCUGUUAUUAGGGAAGAACAAAUGUGUAAGUAACUAUGCACGUCUUGACGGUACCUAAUCAGAAAGCCACGGCUAACUACGUG